UACAGAGGUGGCAAGCGUUGUUCGGAAUUACUGGGCGUAAAGGGCGCGUAGGCGGCCUACUAAGUCAGACGUGAAAUCCCCCGGCUUAACCUGGGAACUGCGUCUGAUACUGGAAGGCUUGAGGAUGGGAGAGGGGGGUGGAAUUCCACGUGUAGCAGUGAAAAUGCGUAGAGAUGUGGAGGAAUACCGAUGGCGAAGGCAGCCCCCUGGGACAUGACUGACGCUCAUGCACGAAAGCGUGGGGAGCAAACAGG
rnacentral:rRNA from 1 species